rnacentral:lncRNA from 1 species
GUAAGAGGAGCCUUCCAGAGGCGACCCGCGGGCUCCCCUGCCGCGGGGUCCCCGGCGGCCCCGGGACCCUGCCGCCUCGCCCUCCCCGCCACCGAAAGGCACAGGUGGACGGUGGCGCGUCCCUCUCCCUUGGUGAUCAGCUCCCAGGACGCGCGUUGAAAAGUGUCUCCGCAUCUCGGAAUCCGGGACUUAACCUUGAACCCGGAGCUUCCUGAGCGCAGGUGUGGCCGAGGGACUGAGUUCGAAGGUAGACGGGUGUUGAGUCGCAUAGUUGGGAACCUUGAAGAACAGCGUCUGGGAUACUCAGCGUUUCAGAACAGGUGUUUUUGGAAAAAAAUCCACAAUUUGGAUGUGAGAAAGGACAUGAGGAGACCAAAGACCUGGGAUUUUGCUGAUCAGAAUGAAACAAACGUUGAAAGACUUUUCCAAUCUACUGUUGGUGGUGCUCUGUGACUAUGUUCUUGGAGAAGCUGAGUAUCUCCUGUUGGGGGAGCCGGGCCAUGUAGCGCUAAGCAACAGCACAGUGACUGUGGCUUUCCAGUAUUUCGACGGAACCAACGGGACGCUGAGGAAUGUCUCUGUCCUGCUGUUGGAGGCCAACACCAAUCAGACUCUUACCACCAAAUACCUCCUGACCAACCAGUCCCAGGGGACGCUCGAGUUUGAGUGCUUCUACUUCCGGGAGGCUGGCGACUACUGGUUCACGAUGUCUCCAGAGGCGACAAACAGCAGCGCUCCGGCCCCUCGCUGGGAGAGGAGCGCCUUUCUGAAGGUGGAAUGGCCCGACUUCCACGUCCACCUCAACAGGACCUCCAGGGCUGCAGAAGGCACCUUUCAGGUGGGCCUGUUCACCAGUCAGCCGCUGUGCCCGUUCCCUGUGGACAAGCCCGACAUCGUGGUGGAUGUUAUCUUCACCAACAGCCUUCCCGAGGCCAGCACGAGCCAGGGCCAGCCCCUGGAGAUACGAGCCAGCAAGAGGGCAGAGCUCUCGCAAGGCCAGUGGCUGGAGUUUGGCUGCGCACCUGUGGGGCCGGAAGCCUAUGUCACCGUGGUGCUGAAGCUGCUUGGCCGAGACUCGGUCAUUAGCUCCACAGGCCCCAUUGACCUGGCCCAGAAAUUUGGAUACAAACUGGUGAUGGCGCCAGAACUCACGUGUGAGUCCAGGGUGGAGGUGAUGGUGCUGCCCCCGCCAUGCAUCUUCGUCCAGGGGGUCGUCGCCGUCUACAAGGAAGCCCCCAGACGCCCUGGGGAAGGGACCCCUCGCCUGGCUGAAAACAGCCUGAGCCUGGGAGAGAGGAGAACAGUAUUCAACUGCACUUUGUUUGAUGUGGGGAGGCACAAAUACUGCUUUGACUUUGGCGUUUCAAGCAGAAGCCAGUUUUCUGCAAAGGAGAAGGAGUGCAUGCUAAUUCAGAGAACUAUAGAAACUUGGGGACUGUGGCAGCCGUGGAGCCAGUGUAGCGCCUCGUGUGGGGACGGUGUCAGAGAGCGUCGCCGCCUGUGCCUGAGCUCCUUCCCCUCCCGCCCUGGCUGCCCCGGAGUGUCCUCGGAGGCCUCCCCGUGUUCCCUGGAGGACUGCGCUGGUUCCGGUGAAAAAGAACCUUGCUCCGCCCACAAACCACCUGCUUCUCAUACACAGCCAGCUGCCCUUUUAGUCUUUGCUCUGGUCCUGACCCUUCGGCGAAGUCCUUCUGUCCAGGCUGCCUUCUUCUGCUCUCCAGCUCCAGGUUGAAAACCAUCCCCGGUUCCUUGUCCCUUUGGGAUCGAGAAGGUCGAUGUCUCUGUGUUUGGUCUCAGCUCACCUUGUAGCCAGAACCACCAGCUCCUGGCAGUACCUAGAGCAGCGUCCCCACCUGUGACCUCAUACAAUCCGUGCUGUCUCCUCUUUCCAGUCAGCUCCGCAGGCCUUGUUCCCUCCAUUCCAGCUGCCUUAGGACAUUCUCUCUUCUGGGAUUUUGCUAUUAGAGCCUCAGACCCAGGCCCUUCUCCCAGCCCGAAGCCUGCCCCCUUCUUUCAUCAGCCCUGGGCCGCAUCCUGAGUCUGUUCUCCCUCCAGUUAUAUCUCAUGCUGUCAUCUGAAGCCCUCUCUCCUUGCCUCUCCUUUCUUUGCCCAUUUUUGGCUGCACCCAUGGCAUGUGGGAGUUCCCAGGCCAGGGACCUAACCAGCCUCACAGCAGCGACCUGAGCCACUGCAGUGACAACCCCAGAUCCUUAAUCCACUGCACCACAGGACCUUCCUGUCUGCCCUGCUCUUUAUAAUCCCUUCACUCUCCACAUCUCCUUCCUUCCGUGUAACUUCUUCCUCUCCAUUCUGGGAUGCAGUGUGUGAAGAUUUUCCCUCUGGAGUGCUAUGCUACUCAAAGGAAUGGAAAACCAACUGCCCUGGCUUCUAUCGCACCUUUAGAAGAGACAGCAAUGUCGACCCUUUAUUGACCAUUUAUGUGCCAGCACUUUAAACAUAUCAUCUCAGAGUUCCCGUCGUGGUGCAGAGGAGACGAAUCUGACUAGGAACCAUGAGGUUGCAGGUUCGAUCCCUGGCCUUGCCCAGUGGGUUGAGGAUCCAGCAUUGUCAUGAGCUGUGGUGUAGGUCGCAGCUGCAGCUCAGAUCCUGCGUUGCUGUGGCUGUGGUGUAGGCCAGCAGCUGUAGCUCUCAUUCGACCCCUAGCCUGGGAACCUCCAGAUGCAGUGGGUGUGGCCCUAAAAAGCAAAAAAAAAAAAAAAAAAAAAAAAAA